rnacentral:rRNA from 1 species
CGUUCCAAACUCGUACCGGAGGCAGCAAUGGGGAAUCUUUGGACAUUCGGCCCAGGCCCGAUCCAGCCUUUUCGGGGUGGGUGAAGCACGCCCUUCGGGUAGUAAAUCCUUUUGGUGGGAAAGAAAUCCAGCCGGCUAAUCCCCCGGUGGGGAUGACGGCCCCCAAAGAAUAAGCACCGGCUAACUUUGUGCCAGCAGCCGCGGUAAUACGAAGGGUGCAAGCGUUACUCGGAAUUACUGGGCGUAAAGCCUGCGUAGGUGGUCGUUUAAAGUCCGUUGUGAAAGCCCUGGGCUCAACCUGGGAACUGCAGUGGAUACUGGGCGACUAGAAUGUGGUAGAGGGUAGCGGAAUUCCUGGUGUAGCAGUGAAAUGCGUAGAGAUCAGGAGGAACAUCCAUGGCGAAGGCAGCUACCUGGACCAACAUUGACACUGAGGCACGAAAGCGUGGGGAGCAAACAGGAUUAGAUACCCUGGUAGUCCACGCCCUAAACGAUGCGAACUGGAUGUUGGGUGCAAUUUGGCACGCAGUAUCGAAGCUAACGCGUUAAGUUCGCCGCCUGGGGAGUACGGUCGCAAGACUGUAACUCAAAGGAAUUGACGGGGGCCCGCACAAGCGGUGGAGUAUGUGGUUUAAUUCGAUGCAACGCGAAGAACCUUACCUGGCCUUGACAUGUCGAGAACUUUCCAGAGAUGGAUUUGUGCCUUCGGGAACUCGAACACAGGUGCUGCAUGGCUGUCGUCAGCCCGUAGAGUUAGAUCUUGGGUCAAGUUCGGGUCCGAGCGCACCCCAUGUCGGAAGUUGCC